rfam:Ictidomys tridecemlineatus contig047668, whole genome shotgun sequence.
GGGGAUGUAGCUCAGUUGAUAGAGUACUUGCCUCAAAUGCACAAAGCCCUGGGUUCAAUCCCCAACACACACA